rnacentral:rRNA from 1 species
CCUACGGGAGGCAGCAGUGGGGAAUAUUGGGCAAUGGGCGCAAGCCUGACCCAGCAACGCCGCGUGAAGGAAGAAGGCUUUCGGGUUGUAAACUUCUUUUGUCAGGGACGAAGCAAGUGACGGUACCUGACGAAUAAGCCACGGCUAACUACGUGCCAGCAGCCGCGGUAAUACGUAGGUGGCAAGCGUUAUCCGGAUUUACUGGGUGUAAAGGGCGUGUAGGCGGGACUGCAAGUCAGAUGUGAAAACCACGGGCUCAACCUGUGGCCUGCAUUUGAAACUGUAGUUCUUGAGUACUGGGGAGGCAGAAGGAAUUCCUAGUGGAGCGGGGAAAAGAGUAGAUAUUAGGAGGAAAAACAGUGGCGAAGGCGGGCUGCUGGACAGCAACUGACGCUGAGGCGCGAAAGCGUGGGGAGCAAACAGGAUUAGAUACCCCGGUAGUC